UACAGAGGGUGCGAGCGUUAAUCGGAAUUACUGGGCGUAAAGCGUGCGUAGACGGUAGCGUAAGUCAGAUGUGAAAGCCCCGGGCUCAACCUGGGAAUUGCAUUUGAGACUGCUCUGCUCGGGUGCGGAAGAGGGAAGCGGAAUUUCCGGUGUAGCGGUGAAAUGCGUAGAGAUCGGGAGGAACAUCAGUGGCGAAGGCGGCCAUCUGGGACAACACUGACGCUGAGGCACGAAAGCGUGGGGAGCAAACAGG
rnacentral:rRNA from 1 species